AGCUGUGGUUGGAGUGUUGGUGGGGGCUGGCUUCGAGCUGAGCCCGGAGGCAGCAGACAGAAGGGGGUCUCUGCUGUGCUGCUCACUCCUGGAUCUCAUGCUCUUCUGGCUUCUGGACACCGUGGACCAGAGUGAGACGCAGCAAUCUGCGGGAGCUGAGCGAUGGAUUCAGAUAUUUGAUGCUUCACUGUGUGGAGCUUCAGCCUCAGUGGAUACCCUGCAGCGUUUCUUCACACACUCACUGACACAGACCCUCACAUACAAGCCUCGAC